ensembl:lncRNA
GUGAUGUUUGCGUGAUGUUUGCGUGAUGUUUGCGUGAUGUUUGCGUGAUGUUUGCGUGAUGUUUGCGUGAUGUUUGGCUUUGUGUGUUUUUAAACUGCUUGUGUUCAUUGUAAUCCCUAUCAACAAGUUAAGAACACCAACUGGCUGUGCUCAACAGUGUUGGGAAAAUGUUUUUGCCACGACCUUUUGCCUACAGAAUGGACUCAUUUUCCCUGAGGUUGCCUUAACCGCAUGAUCGACCUGGCUAUGACCCAAGAACUGUUGUACCUGGCCAUAGCGGCCCUUCAAAGCUCCCUGGUCCUGUCGCAUCUGGGAGUUGUGGUGUUGUCCAAGUGUUCAGCGUUCUGAUCUGAACUCUUAUAAAAGGAUUUGUAAGACUGCUGCUUCCCCCUUCAUUCCUCAGACUCUGAACAGGCUGGGUGUGUUCCUUCUGGAGUACCUUACCCUAGUAUACUUCCACUACCUCACCUUUCAGUCUCCAAGUAAGUUCUAGGCAGGGCUUCUCUCAGAUUGAAUGUCUGAAGACCAACGGUUCCCACUUCCUGAGGGUGCAGUGGCGGCAGGUUCUAUUCCAGCCCCACUCCCUGCUACAGCAGCCCCACCCUGAGUUGUUAGCCCCGAGCCUAGCCAAGAAGGGCUUGAGGCUAAUUAUGGUGAGCUGUUCAUCACUGAAGAUCCCUGCUGGCACCAGCCAUCUCAGAACCUGCUAUGAGCAUGGGAAUGACCAAUGUAACUCGGCCAGCUUCAUCUGGUACCAUCCUACUGUCACAUACAAACAGCUGUUUCCUGAACCCAGUGAUACCAAGGUAAAGAGGACUCUAGCUCUGCCAAGGGUCAGAUUGGCUCCAGUCCUUCCCAGCAGAGCCAGGGAGUAACUAUGGUUUUCAUGACAGUACCGUCAUGAAACCACAGGUUGUAGCUGGUUCCAGUUCUUCUCAGGUCAUCUCCAGUUCUGACCCUCGGAACCUUUGACAGGAUGUUCUAGACCCGUGGUCCCCUGGCUUAAUCAGUGCUCUCUGGAAUGAGUCAGAACACCAUCCAUCGACACUAACCUGCAUUCCUAUGUUUUCAUGACUUAAUAAAUGAUACAAUGUUUAUUUUGUCUAUUGACUAAAGAACUGAUUGGCUUUCUACAGUUUUUAAUGUAAUAUUUUUUAAGUCUCUUGGGUGUUAUACUUUAAUUGAAAGUUGCGACUGGUACAUUAGUUCAAAUCUUAACAUCUCUUAAAUUGGCUGGCUAUAACAUGACUGCAGUCCUAGGCUCUAUGACUGCAUAUAUUUUCUAACAAAUAUAACCAAGAAGGGUUAGUUUUAAGCUGUGACCAAGCAAUUGACAUUAGAUCACUUAAUUGGACAGUGGGCUUCCAAAUUUGUCUAACAAACCACUAGUCUCCAGAACUUGAACCUGGUUAAUUCAAUGUUAUCCAAGUCGUUCUCAGAGGCUUAGUAGUCCCAAUAUUUUAAAUGGUUAAUCAACUUUUAUCUGACACGGGAAUGGCUCUUACUGUGGCAAUUUUGCUUGACUUGAGAUAUUAGCCAUUUUCAGUGCAACAUACUGACUAAUGAACUACGCAAGAGAUUUUGUAGGCAGAACACAUUGGCGUUGGAUUCUAUUGCAUUGACAAGCACUACUCAGCCCACUACUCUACGUAGACCGGUGCGGCAUAAACAAUCAGCGGUACACUAAGCCAGAAUGCAAAUUGACCAUUGCCAUAUAUGGAUCUGUGCCGUUUACUUUGAACUGGAUGGUGUUUACAGCAUCAGCGAGUAGAUGCGCUUGUUUUGACAUCAAAGCAUCAGCUGCAUGUAGCCACGUGUGCAAUUUUGUUCAUAUUCUUUGAAAGUUAUUAGCCCAGUUUGAUCAUUUGUAGUCAGCAAUGGUGAUUGACGAGCACAAUGUGUACAUUUCUAGGCAUAUUUGAGAAGCGAAUGCUUGU